rnacentral:rRNA from 1 species
UACGUAGGGUGCAAGCGUUGUCCGGAAUUAUUGGGCGUAAAGAGCUCGUAGGCGGUUUGUCGCGUCUGCUGUGAAAACUCGGGGCUUAACCCCGGGCCUGCAGUGGGUACGGGCAGACUAGAGUGCGGUAGGGGAGACUGGAAUUCCUGGUGUAGCGGUGAAAUGCGCAGAUAUCGGGAGGAACACCGGUGGCGAAGGCGGGUCUCUGGGCCGUAACUGACGCUGAGGAGCGAAAGCGUGGGGAGCGAACAGG